AUUUGUUAAUAUCUUGGUAGUACAAUUAAAACAAACCAAUAAAGAAUGGCGGUUACAAUAUUUUAGAGAAACUCGCCCUAUAAUCGUCAAUCCCCGCUAAAUCUAACUUAAUUUCAAUUAAUUUUUAUACCGCCGUUACAGAAACUAAACUAAACUAAUUUUCCCAAAUAUUACAAUUUAAAAAUCAGGUCAAGGUGAAAUACAUAAUUAAGUAAGGGUAAGUUACAUUAAAAAUUAUUUAAGAAAAAGUAUAUAAAUAAAAUUAGAAAAAGAAUCUAAAAGUAAAAAUUAAUUAAAAUUUAAAUUAGAAAACAUAACUGUAACGU
rnacentral:rRNA from 1 species